UGCAAGCCGAGCGGUAUUUGUUCUUCGGAACAGAGAGAGCGGCGUACGGGUGCGUAACACGUGUGCAACCUGCCUUUAUCUGGGGGAUAGCCUUUCGAAAGGAAGAUUAAUACCCCAUAAUAUAUUUUACGGCAUCGUAAGAUAUUGAAAACUCCGGUGGAUAGAGAUGGGCACGCGCAAGAUUAGAUAGUUGGUGAGGUAACGGCUCACCAAGUCAAUGAUCUUUAGGGGGCCUGAGAGGGUGAUCCCCCACACUGGUACUGAGACACGGACCAGACUCCUACGGGAGGCAGCAGUGAGGAAUAUUGGACAAUGGGUGAGAGCCUGAUCCAGCCAUCCCGCGUGAAGGACUAAGGCCCUAUGGGUUGUAAACUUCUUUUAUACUGGGGUAAACCUACUUACGUGUAAGUAGCUGAAGGUACAGUAUGAAUAAGCACCGGCUAACUCCGUGCCAGCAGCCGCGGUAAUACGGAGGGUGCAAGCGUUA
rnacentral:rRNA from 1 species